CAAUUUUCUUUGUAUCUGCUUAGAUGACUAAGGAGAUUUGUGCAAUAGUACCAGACACGCCUUGGUGCACGUGUCUAUGCAAGAAAAGCUUUAAUCUCCGACAUUAUCUAGAUUCUGGGUCAUAAGUCAUGUCUGCCCAACAAUGCUGGAAAUACCAUUUCCAGCAGUGUAGUUUGAUCUUUUACUCUUGAAAAAACCCUGUGCUAACAGCAAAAGUCAGCGCUCCCAGAAGCCUAGAAGGGAGAGCAGUUACUUCUCAAGCAAGCAAAUAAAACUUACUUAUGCAGAGUUGUGCUUUGUUGUAAAAUGUGAACAAAUUAUUUCCGGUUGAAUAUUAACAGAAAACAAAAUCUGGGCAGCUCAUGUCUCUAUAGGGAAACCAGGAGUAGGCUUUGCUAUGCUUAGCAUAGACGCCUGGCGCUCUCUGUGAUACCUCUGCAGGGCUGGUUGAUGUGCCAAGGGACAUGCUGCAGAGCAGCAGCCGGAGGCCAGCAAACACCCUGGAACAUGCACAGUGGUGUGGAUGCCUCCGUGUAGGUGACUGAGCCCCACCGCAGGCUUUCACAGGCUAAGUGUAAGAAGGAGACAGAGGGAAAUAAGAAAAUAAACAGCCCAAAACAGAAGGUGGAGGCUUUAGGAUGUGCCAUCAGUGAGUGAAGAGUCCCCUUCUGUGGAGCCUGACUCCCCUCAUGUAUAGGGUGUCCCAUUUGGGGACCAUUUUGAUCCCUCGUCCUGUGGUUCUAGCUCUAAAUAAUUAAGUUAUUUUAUUGUCAAGCAUGGAAUACAUUGGUCUAACAGGCAUUGGUGGUGGAGACUGGUGGGAUGAGGAUCAUUUUUAGCUUCAGAGCAGCAAAGCACAUCUACAGGAAGGACCUGAAGGAGAGACCCCCUGUAUUGUAA